rnacentral:misc_RNA from 1 species
UUUCCGUAGGUGAACCUGCGGAAGGAUCAUUCAUAAUAAGUGUUUUACGGCACUUUUUUAAAUCCAUAUCCACCUUGUGUGCAAUGUCAGGGUUAAUUUUUCUCUCGAGAGGAUCAACCCCAAACAUCAACUAUAUCUCAACUCUUUGUCUGAAAAAUAUUAUGAAUAAAACAAUUCAAAAUACAACUUUCAACAACGGAUCUCUUGGCUCUC